rnacentral:rRNA from 1 species
GACGAACGCUGGCGGCGUGCUUAACACAUGCAAGUCGAACGGAAAGGCCCUGCUUUUGUGGGGUGCUCGAGUGGCGAACGGGUGAGUAACACGUGAGUAACCUGCCCUUGACUUUGGGAUAACUUCAGGAAACUGGGGCUAAUACCGGAUAGGAGCUCCUGCUGCAUGGUGGGGGUUGGAAAGUUUCGGCGGUUGGGGAUGGACUCGCGGCUUAUCAGCUUGUUGGUGGGGUAGUGGCUUACCAAGGCUUUGACGGGUAGCCGGCCUGAGAGGGUGACCGGCCACAUUGGGACUGAGAUACGGCCCAGACUCCUACGGGAGGCAGCAGUGGGGAAUAUUGCACAAUGUGCGGAAGCCUGAUGCAGCAACGCCGCGUGCGGGAUGACGGCCUUCGGGUUGUAAACCGCUUUCGCCUGUGACGAAGCGUGAGUGACGGUAAUGGGUAAAGAAGCACCGGCUAACUACGUG